AUAAUCGUGUAAACAGGUGAUCAUGAGGUAGACGGCAGUCACCAUCUUAUCCUGUAAGCAAAUUUGCUGGUGAUUGUUACCAAAGCGCUAUCUGAGUUACGUCAAAUCUGCCGGGAAUGAAAUUACUGUCGGUGGCAACAAAAUCGCAUUAGUAUUGAAUAUAAACCAAGACAAGUCACCACAUAUCUGUAAAAGAAAAAUAUAAACAUCUGUUAGAAAUGAAUUAUUUUCAUUUUGAAAAUUAAAUUUUUCCCCAAAAACAAAUGUUUUGAAUCUGUAAAGAAAAGGAAAAAAAAAAUUUGGUGGAAGCAAGUACAAUUUUUCGUUAAAUAUCGAGCUAAAUCAAGAAACGUUAAUUAAUGUGUACAUUUCCAACACAAUGUAUAUGAACUUCUCUUUGCUAUUUCAUUGAAGAAGAGAACAAGGUCAAUCGCGACGCACAAGGAGUAACUAAGUAGUUCCUAAUAUUUGCAAACGACGUAUAAAUAUGUGUUAUAUUGUUGCAUGUUGAUGCAUGCAGAAGUUCCGCGCUUCCAAAGUAGCUUUUCAUUACUUUCGGGGAAAAUUGGUAUUAACGGCGGUGUGGGAUGAACAUAUAUACCGCGCAGGUUGCGCUUGGCCAUGAUUUUACAGUUGUUGGCGUCAAGGAGUUAUUGAUGGCCAGCCUGUAGCGACCAUACCGUAAGUGUUGCACAAACCAGGUUAUCAACUAUUGUAUCAGAGGUGUUACAAGGUUUGGAAGCAAAAUUUUGUGUGUUACCGCCGUCGUGGAGGUGUGAUUUUACCAGAGAUUUCGUAUUCCAGGCGAACAUUACACUUCAUAAUAUCUCUAUAUAUAAAAAUUUCUUGUAUAAAUGCGGAUUACUGUACUACCCGGGAAACAAAAAUUAAAAGCAAGAAAAUGUUCAAAUCAAUUGAAAUACUCCCUAAAUUAUCCAAAAAUUGUGUGAAAAGGCGAUUAUAACGGGGACGAAAUUAGAAAUAUUCCGAAAUGUUGAUUUUUUGUUCGUAGUCGUAGCGCUAUAUUACACUUGGCCACUCUCGAAAGCAAUUGGAGAUGAAAACACCUUGAAACACAAUACGAGCACGUCCAUAUAGUUAUUCAAUUCCAUUAAGCUAAUUGUAUGGUGCAGAUAUCGCAAAUUCAAGGUUAAACGAAAAUUCCAUUAAAAAUUAGAACUUCAAAUGUGUUUUUUUUAAGCUUAUUGGAUGUUUUCUAGUGACACUGUACGAUUUUUCGGAUAGAUGGAAACUUCUCGGUUCAAUCGAAACAAAAAUUCACUCCACAUUUUUGAAGCAAUCUGUUCAAAAAUUCUGUGUUGAUUACA